ACACCAAAAAACAGGUUGAUCAAAUUGAAUUAGAAAUUUCGUUAUUUUUGAGGGGAAAGCGAUGAGCGAAAUCGUGUUAUUGAUAGAUGAUUUGAGAUCAUCACCUCCUUAUUCUUCUUCUUCAGCAGCAUCAUCCAAAAUUUGCAGAAUUUGCCACGAAGAAGAAUUUGAGACUGCCAAACUCUGGAGACUCCUUGUGCUUGCUCUGGCUCUGUAAAGUUUGCACACAGAGAUUGCGUGCAGAGAUGGUGCGAUGAAAAGGGAAACACAACUUGUGAAAUUUGCUUACAGAAAUUUGAACCGGGCUACACAUCGCCACCCAAAAAGUACAGCUAAUUGAUGCAACUGUCACAAUAAGGGUGAGUUUGGAAGUGCCAAGAAACGAGCAAGAAGAAGAAAAUGAAAGGCUUGAAACAGAGUGUGAAGAUGGAGAUAAUAGAAGC